rnacentral:rRNA from 1 species
UACGUAGGCAGCGAGCGUUGUUUCGGAAUUUACUGGGCGUAAAGAGUGUGUAGGCGGUGCUCCCAGUCUGUUGUGAAAUCUCCCGGCUUUAACUGGGAGGGUGCAGCGGAAACUAGAGUGCUAGAGGGUGGGAGAGGUAAGCGGAAUUCCUGGUGUAGCGGUGAAAUGCGUAGAUAUCAGGAGGAACACCUGUGGUGUAGACAGCUUACUGGACCACUUCUGACGUGAGACACGAAAGCGUGGGUAGC